rnacentral:rRNA from 1 species
GAUGGGUUUCUUCCUACUAGAGUUCGAUUCUGUUCUUAACUGAAUGGAGUAGCUAUCUCUCGGGGUAGUCAAUUGGUUAUUAUAUCUCCACUAAUAAGCAGAGAGGAGUAAAAUCUUCAAAGUAAGUUAUGUGGGUCAAGGUAUAAUGAUUAAUUGGAGUUCUAGUUCAUUUACUUUGAGAAAAUUAGAGUGUUUAAAGCAGCCUCUUGGGGCACUGAAUACAUUAGCAUGGGAUAAUAAAAUAGGAUCUUCACAAUAUAUUUUAUUGGUUUAAAUUGGAUAUGAAGAUAAUGAUUAAUAGGGACAGUUGGGGGUAUUCAUAUUGGGUGGUUAGCGGUGAAAUGCUCGGAUCCAUUCAAGAUGAACUAAAGCGAAAGCAUUUACCAAGGAUUGUUUUCAUUAAUACAAGAACGUAAAGUUAAGGGAUACGAAGACGAUUAG